rnacentral:rRNA from 1 species
CUACGGGUUGCUGCAGUAACGAAUAUUGUGCAAUGGGCGAAAGCCUGACACAGCGACGCCGCGUGUAGGAGGAAGUCCCUCGGGAUGUAAACUACUGUCAGGGUGAAGAAAGUCUGUUUCGGCAGAUUGAUCUAACCCGGAGGAAGUCACGGCUAACUUCGUGCCAGCAGCCGCGGUAAGACGAAGGUGGCAAGCGUUGUUCGGUAUUACUGGGCUUAAAGCGUGUGUAGGCGGAUAAAUAAGCGUUUUGUGAAAUCCCUCAGCUCAACUGAGGAAUUGCUUGACGAACUGUUUAUCUUGAGGCAAGUAGGGGUGCACGGAACUCUUGGUGGAGCGGUGGAAUGCGUAGAUAUCAAGAGGAACGCCAGUGGUGAAGACGGUGCACUGGGCUUGUUCUGACGCUGAGACACGAAAGCGUGGGGAGCAAACAGGAUUAGAUACCCCCGUAGUC